CCUACGGGAGGCUGCAGUGGGGAAUAUUGGACAAUGGGCGAAAGCCUGAUCCAGCCAUGCCGCGUGUGUGAAGAAGGCCUUCGGGUUGUAAAGCACUUUCAGUGGGGAAGAAAGCCUUGGGGCUAAUACCCUCGAGGAAGGACAUCACCCACAGAAGAAGCACCGGCUAACUCCGUGCCAGCAGCCGCGGUAAUACGGGAGGGUGCGAGCGUUAAUCGGAAUUACUGGGCGUAAAGCGCGCGUAGGCGGUCUGAUAAGCCGGUUGUGAAAGCCCCGGGCUCAACCUGGGAACGGCAUCCGGAACUGUCAGGCUAGAGUGCAGGAGAGGAAGGUAGAAUUCCCGGUGUAGCGGUGAAAUGCGUAGAGAUCGGGAGGAAUACCAGUGGCGAAGGCGGCCUUCUGGACUGACACUGACGCUGAGGUGCGAAAGCGUGGGUAGCAAACAGGAUUAGAUACCCGUGUAGUC
rnacentral:rRNA from 1 species